rnacentral:rRNA from 1 species
GAUGAACGCUGGCGGCGUGCCUAAUACAUGCAAGUCGAGCGAACAGACGCUGAGCUUGCUCCUCUGACGUUAGCGGCUGACGUGUGUGUAACACGUGGAUAACCUACCUAUAUGACUUGGAUAACUUCGUGAACCCGUAGCUAAUACCGGAUAAUAUAUUUAACCUCAUUGUUCAAUAGUUAAAUACGUUUUUUCUGUCUCUUAUAGAUGUAUCCUCGCCGCAUUAGCUAGUUGUUAAGGUAACGGCUUACCAAGGCAACGAUGCGUAGCCGACCUGAGAGGGUGAUCGGCGAAACGGGAACGGAGAAACGGACAAGACUACUACGGGAGGCAGCAGAAGGGAAGAUUCGGCAAUGGGCGAAAGCAUGACGGAGCAACGCCGCGUGAGUGAUGAAGGUCUUAGGAUCGUAAAACGCUGUUAUGAGGGAAGAAAAAAUGUGUAAGAAAAUAGGAACGUAUUGACGGUAACUAAUCAGAAAGCAACGGCUAACUACGUG